rnacentral:rRNA from 7 species
UACCACCCUUUGUUUAUUACACUUUGUUGCUUUGGCAAGCCUGCCCUCGGGCUGCUGGCUCCGGCCGGCGAGCGCUUGCCAGAGGACCUAAACUCUGUUUGUCUAUACUGUCUGAGUACUAUAUAAUAGUUAAAACUUUCAACAACGGAUCUCUUGGUUCUGGCAUCGAUGAAGAACGCAGCGAAAUGCGAUAAGUAAUGUGAAUUGCAGAAUUCAGUGAAUCAUCGAAUCUUUGAACGCACAUUGCGCCCCCUGGUAUUCCGGGGGGCAUGCCUGUCCGAGCGUCAUUACAACCCUCAAGCUCAGCUUGGUGUUGGGCCCCGCCGCCCCGGCGGGCCCUAAAGUCAGUGGCGGUGCCGUCCGGCUCCGAGCGUAGUAAUUCUUCUCGCUCUGGAGGUCCGGUCGUGUGCUCGCCAGCAACCCCCAAUUUUUUUCAGGUUGACCUCGGAUCAGGUAGGGAUACCCGCUGAACUUAAGCAUAUCAAUAA